AUACGUAGGGGGCAAGCGUUGUCCGGAAUCAUUGGGCGUAAAGAGUACGUAGGCGGUCCGACAAGCGCAAGGUUUAAGGCAACAGCUCAACUGUUGUUCGCCUUGUGAACUGUCAGACUUGAGUGCGGGAGAGGAAAGCGGACUUCCUGGUGUAGCGGUGAAAUGCGUGGAUAUCAGGAGGAAUACCGGUGGCGAAGGCGGCUUUCGGGACCGUAACGGACGCUGAGGUACGAAAGCGUGGGGAGCAAACAGGAUUAGAUACCCUGGUAGUCCACGCCGUAAACGAUGAGCACUAGGUGUCGGGGCUGUAGAGUUUCGGUGCCGCAGUUAACGCAAUAAGUGCUCCGCCUGGGGAGUACGCACGCAAGUGUAAAACUCAAAUGAAUUGACGGGGA
rnacentral:rRNA from 1 species